rnacentral:rRNA from 1 species
UACAGAGGGGGCGAGCGUUGUUCGGAAUUACUGGGCGUAAAGGGCGCGUAGGCGGCCUUCUAAGUCGAACGUGAAAUCCCCGGGCUCAACCCGGGAACUGCGUCCGAUACUGGGAGGCUUGAAUCCGGGAGAGGGAUGUGGAAUUCCAGGUGUAGCGGUGAAAUGCGUAGAUAUCUGGAGGAACACCGGUGGCGAAGGCGGCAUCCUGGACCGGUAUUGACGCUGAGGCGCGAAAAGCCAGGGGAGCAAAGCGGG